CAGAAGGGGCUCUUAGUUUAUGAGUGAGGAGUUUAUACAAGAUCUUGCUGGAGACUAGCCCUGUUAGAUUUGGUGUACUCCAGGGAGCAAGGAUCAUUUUCUUCUGCCAACAUGCUUUCUGCCACCUGCUCAGUUCUUGUGAUCUUAAUACUCAGAGGGACCAGUGGAGACUCAGUGACCCAGACAGAAGGCCCAAUCACACUCUCAGAGGGGGCACCUGUGAUCCUGAACUGCACUUACCAGACCAGUUAUUCAGCUCCUUUCCUUUUCUGGUAUGUCCAGUAUCCCAAUAAAGCUCCUCAACUCCUCCUGAAGAGCUCAAUAGAAAACCAGAGGACAGAGCAUCAAGGUUUUCAGGCCGAUCUUCUUAUGAGUGAUAGCUCCUUCCACCUGCAGAAACCCUCAGUGCAAAUGUCAGACUCGGCCGUGUACUACUGCGCUCUGAGAGACACAGUGAGGGGGACUGCAGGGGGAGCUGAAUACAAACCCAGAGGGCACAGGAGGGGCUGA